CCAGCACCUAAACCCAAGGGCCCAUUUCCCAUAGUAAUAUGGGUGCUGACAGCAAAAGGAUCUCCUUGCCUUUAGGGGCUGUGUCUAUGCCACUCAAGAUGAAUUUGAAGGUUCUACACAA
ensembl:snoRNA